UAGGGAAUCUUCGGCAAUGGGGGGAACCCUGACCGAGCAACGCCGCGUGAGUGAAGAAGGUUUUCGGAUCGUAAAGCUCUGUUGUUAAGGAAGAACGAGUGUGAGAAUGGAAAGUUCAUGCUGUGACGGUACUUAACCAGAAAGGGACGGCUAACUACGUGCCAGCAGCCGCGGUAAUACGGAAGGUUCGGGCGUUAUCCGGAUUUAUUGGGUUUAAAGGGAGCGUAGGCUGUUUGUUAAGCGUGUUGUGAAAUGUAAGAGCUCAACUUUUAGAUUGCAGCGCGAACUGGCAGACUUGAGUGCGCACAACGUAGGCGGAAUUCAUGGUGUAGCGAUGAAAUGCUUAGAUAUCAUGACGAACUCCGAUUGCGAAGGCAGCUUACGGGAGCGCAACUGACGCUAAAGCUCGAAGGUGCGGGUAUCGAACAGG
rnacentral:rRNA from 1 species